UUACAUCUACAAACGUGGCGACAUCAGCUGAGAUAUACAGUGGAUUUAAAUGCAAUAACCGGGGAAUCUUUAUAGAAAAUAGGGAUGAGAUAAGAGGUAAGGCGUUGUUUAUCCCUAUUACGAAAAUAUAAAGACAUUAUUUCGGAAAAUAAUGGAAGAGUGAGACGAUCAGCAUCAGCUCCCUAGAUCCAUCACUGAAGUACAUUUAGCCCAGCUGUCAAGAGUUCCAGGCUUUGAGAAUGAAUAAAUACAAAAUGCAUCCAUUUCUCCACAUGCUUUUCCCAAAGAAUUGGGCCAAUGGAUUCAUUCAGGCAGCAAGUUAAUUCAUAAUUUAAGGAAAAUGAAUUGAUUUCAUCCACAAGAACAUAAAGUGAUGGAAAUAAUCUGCACCUGCUCAGUAUUUCUUUACAGACUGCCUAUGAAUUUGAAA